GAUGAACGCUGGCGGCGUGCCUAAUACAUGCAAGUCGAGCGAACAGACGAGGAGCUUGCUCCUCUGACGUUAGCGGCGGACGGGUGAGUAACACGUGGAUAACCUACCUAUAAGACUGGGAUAACUUCGGGAAACCGGAGCUAAUACCGGAUAAUAUAUUGAACCGCAUGGUUCAAUAGUGAAAGACGGUUUUGCUGUCACUUAUAGAUGGAUCCGCGCCGCAUUAGCUAGUUGGUAAGGUAACGGCUUACCAAGGCAACGAUGCGUAGCUGACCUGAGGGGGUGAUCGGCCACACUGGAACUGAGACACCAGCCAGACGCCGACGGGAGGCAGCAGUAGGGAAUCUUCCGCAAUGGGCGAAAGCCUGACGGAGCGACGCCACGUGAGUGAUGAAGGUCUUCGGAUCGUAAAACUCUGUUAUUAGGGAAGAACAAAUGUGUAAGUAACUAUGCACGUCUUGACGGUACCUAAUCAGAAAGCCCCGGCUAACUACGUG
rnacentral:rRNA from 1 species